ACGUAGGGGGCGAGCGUUGUCCGGAAUUACUGGGCGUAAAGGGUGCGUAGGCGGUUUCCUAAGUCAGAUGUGAAAUCCCCGGGCUUAACCCGUGAGGUGCGUUUGGAACUGGUAAGCUAGAGUGCAGGAGAGGCAAGUGGAAUUCCCAGUGUAGCGGUGAAAUGCGUAGAUAUUAGGAGGAACACCAGUGGCGAAGGCGGCUUGCUGGACUGCAACUGACGUUGAGAUACGAAAGCUAGGGGAGCAAACAG
rnacentral:rRNA from 1 species